rnacentral:rRNA from 1 species
CGCAUCUGUGCAUGCAGUAUAUCAAUAAGCGGAGGAAAAGAAACUAACAAGGAUUCCCUCAGUAACGGCGAGUGAAGCGGGAAGAGCUCAAAUUUGAAAUCUUGAAAGGUUCACCUUUACGAAUUGUAGUUUAAAGAAGUGUUUUCUGUUACGAUCGUAAUAUAAGUUCUUUGGAAUAGGACAUCACAGAGGGUGAGAAUCCCGUCUAUGAUUGCGAUUUGUAGCUUUGUGAUACGCUUUCAAAGAGUCGGGUUGUUUGGGAAUGCAGCCCAAAACGGGAGGUAAAUUUCUUCUAAGGCUAAAUAUUGGCGAGAGACCGAUAGCGAACAAGUACCGUGAGGGAAAGAUGAAAAGAACUUUGAAAAGAGAGUUAAACAGUACGUGAAAUUGUCAAAAGGGAAGCGUUUAACACCAGUGUUGUUUUCUGAAAAUCAACCUCUGUUAGCUUUAUGCAUGUUUGUUUAGACCUAAUCAGCUAUCUUGCAUGUUCUAUUGUUUGCAGUGGUGCACUUUUCAGUUUACAGGUCAACAUCAGUUUUUUUUACCGUAAAAAAGUUAAAGAAAGGUAGCUCAUGGCUCCGGUCGUGAGUGUUAUAGUCUUUUUCCUAUGCGGUAGGAGAGACUGAGGUCUACAGUGUAGGCUAUUUGGCUAGAUACUCAGGUGCUAUGUGAUACCAUUUCAUAAACAACUUGUUGAUUAUGUUUUGUCUAUUGCAUACUCGCUUGUACUAUCAUACCUACGCUUAGGAUGUUGACGAUCAGCUGAGCGCG